rnacentral:rRNA from 1 species
ACGGGAGGCAGCAGUGGGGAAUAUUGCACAAUGGGCGCAAGCCUGAUGCAGCGAUGCCGCGUGAGGGAAGAAGGUUUUCGGAUUGUAAACCUCUGUCAACAGGGACGAAAAUGACGGUACCUGUGAAGGAAGCUCCGGCUAACUACGUGCCAGCAGCCGCGGUAAUACGGAGGAUGCGAGCGUUAUCCGGAUUUAUUGGGUUUAAAGGGUGCGCAGGCGGCACGUUAAGUCAGCGGUGAAAUGUCGGGGCUCAACCCGGGCACUGCCGUUGAAACUGGCGAGCUUGAGUACGGAUGAAGUCGGCGGAAUGUGAUGUGUAGCGGUGAAAUGCUUAGAUAUGUCACAGAACACCGAUUGCGAAGGCAGCUGACUAAUCCGCAACUGACGCUCAGGCACGAAAGCGUGGGGAUCGAACAGGAUUAGAUACCCUGGUA